rnacentral:lncRNA from 1 species
UUUGCAUAUUAUUUGAUAACUUUUAAAUUAUUUUUAUUCAUUUUACCUGUUAGUCAGGAGUCUUUCUGUAAGAAAAUAUUCUAUAAAUAUUUUGAGCAUCUAUUUAAGGAUAAGUAAAUUCUUGGUGAGAAAUAUUACAAGGUCAUAUCUAAUAAACCCAUGCACUCAUCUCAUUACCUAGUGUCUUCUUUCACAUCUUUCUCAGCUUUGAUCUUGGUGGCCUCACUUAUAGCGACCUGCCCUAUCCACCAGUGUUCACACAGUCAAACGCACGGGUGUCAUUGAUUUAUGAAUUGCUGGGAAGUUAAAGGAUCACAUUCAAGGGCCACAAUGACUGCAAUAUAAUAAAUAAUAAUAAUAAUAAUAAUAAUAAUAAUAAUAAUAAUAAUAAUUGUAGUAGUAGUAGUAAUAAUAAUAGAAAAUGUUAGAGUCCCCAGUGUUAAAAGUAAAUGAAUAAAAACUCACAACCAGAAAGGUGAAAUUCAACAUUCAUCUUUGUAAUCUUUCUGGACCUCAUGAAACUGAAUCCAACAUAUCCCCAAGCUCUUCAUAACACCUCUGAGUUUUACAAUAAUUUAUUCAUGAGUCUAGAGACUUUUUUGCAUCACUUAAAUGUACCAUAUCUCGACUUUUUUUUUUCCUUUCCUUCUUUCUUCAGGCUCAUCUCGCUCCUUUGUAAUUUAUUUGAGUAUUUUAGUGUUUUAGACGAUUGUGGAUUAAUGAUGCAUUUAAACUGCUUUACAAUGACCUUAGGCUAGGUAAAUUACUGAAGUAGUGCCAGCCACGGAUAUUUAUUUUCAUGGCAGUAAGCAUUUACUCUCUUGUUUAACCACAUGGCACACAAAGUAACUGGUUGGCUUAAAAUAUAUUCCAUAAGAGUUACAAAUAAGUUUUAUUGAGGAGGAAAUAGCUGUUUAUAAUAUUGGCUCUACUAUAGGCAAUAUUUAAUUAUAUUUUCACUAUGAUUGAAUGACUUUUUUCCUGGCUAUUAGCAUUAUAGUUUCAGAAGACAGAGCAUCCUUAUCCACGUCUGUUCUUAUCUCCAGACUCUUUGGAUGAAAUGCAACAUGUUGUCAUUAUACAUGCAGAACUCGAUAACUAUAUUGAAGAAAACCUGGACAAUAUCACCAGCAACCCUGCCUUUGACAUUGUUAGAGCAUGACUCUGCCACACUAGCUUUGGGGAAGGUUCAUGCCUGUUCUGAUCUUCAUGUCCUCAUCUGUAGGUGGACACACCUUAUGGAAUGGGUUACAAGACAUCAUAGUAAUAAUUUCCUUGUGGUGCCAAGAGCCUUAGGUGAGAAAAGUAGACGAGUGGCCCUUGGUUUCUCUACCAGAUGGCACAAAUGGAAAGCAUUUUUGAGUAGCAAAGCAGAAUGUCCUGGUAGCUCCCAACUAAACAUUGCCCCCUUGUGGCUUUGUUUUACAUUCAUGUCCUAAAACUAAAAAUCAAAGUUUGUGAACUGUCCAAUCUAUUUUUUUUUCAAGGUUAUGUUUGUUUAUGACCUCAUUCACUCACCCCAACCAGAACAUUCUAUAUACUUAUUUGAAAAAAAUUGUAACAGUAAAUGACAGAGAAAUUUAUACUGGACCCCUCUUGG